GAUGAAGAACGUAGCGAAAUGCGAUAAGUAGUGUGAAUUGCAGAAUUCAGUGAAUCAUCGAAUCUUUGAACGCACAUUGCGCCCCUUGGUAUUCCAUGGGGCAUGCCUGUUCGAGCGUCAUUUGUACCUUCAAGCUCUGCUUGGUGUUGGGUGUUUGUCUCGCCUCUGCGUGUAGACUCGCCUCAAAACAAUUGGCAGCAGGCGUAUUGAUUUCGGAGCGCAGUACAUCUCGCGCUUUGCACUCAUAACGACGACGUCCAAAAGUACAUUUUUACACUCUUGACCUCGGAUCAGGUAGGGAUACCCGCUGAACUUAAGCAUAUCAAUAAGCGGAGGA
rnacentral:misc_RNA from 1 species